AAACCAGUAACUUAGUAACCGUGGAAUGCCCCGGAACUCAGGAACCAAGCGCCUGGGCGGGCAGAAUGACAUCUGGGAACGACUGGAGGGGAGGACUGGCUCUCCCCACAGAACCCAGCCCCGUUGCUACACCCCUGUGACACCUUUCAGGGCCUGGGACUCAGCCCAUUCUCGCCUGCCAAGCCACCAGAAGGGCAGGAUAAGGAAUUCAUGGACCCUCCUUCUGCACCAGGUAAACUGCUCAGCACUUCAGCACUGGAGAAGCAAGAUGAUGGAGAAAGACAGGGUGCUUCCUCUCAUGAAAUCAUAUCCUGAUGGAAGGAGGUGUAUUAUUAACCCAGAUAGCCAGAAGUGGUGAUUACAGAUGGACCAAAGAGCUGCCGCAAAGCACCUGAUUAUACAACUCAUAUUUCUGAGCUGGGUGUGGUGGCACACACCUGUAACACCCCCAGCACUCAGGAGGCUGAGGCAGGAGGAUCUCAAGUUCCAGGGUUGGAGAUUUUCCCAGAAGAAUAGGAAAGUUUGGUGGCCCCAACACUCAGUAACACUGGAGGGUAGCGUGGCCUCUGGCCCUGCUCACUUCUUCCUGUGCGCUGUGGAGCUUGAUGUGGUUCCUCCUGGGCUAUUCACCCAUGACUAUGUCGCCUGUCCUAACGGUAGCAGAGGACCAGCCUCAGCUCGGGGAACCGCACCCCCCCAUCUAAUCACACUCAGGAUUAGAACCCCAUCCUCAGCCACACCCCGCCUUCCUUCUGUGCACAGCCCUGGCUCCAAAUUCCCUCUGCAGACUCGGCAGACUCACUCCUCAUCACUGAGCGUCCAUAUCCACCCUAGCCCUCACAGGGCACCCUCACAGGGCUGGAGCACCCAUUACCUGCCCCCACCCCACCUCCCCACUCUCAUUCUCUCUCCCUGAGCUUUAGAAGGCUUGUUUAUUUUCUUUUUGGGUCAGCAUGAAAAUUUCAGGGCACUCAGACCACAGUCCUUACUUGAAUCAAGCUGAGCUCUCCAAAGCAUCAGGCUUUGUUUUCUUUCUAAAACAAACUCCGAUCUUAUCUAGAUAUUAGGCUUAUCUUGGCAAGUCACUACACUGCAUUAGACUUUUUUUUCUCCUCUCUCUCUCUCUCCCUGAAAUGUGAUAUUAUGAAGAGACCUCGACCUGGGGCUGCCUAUGGCUUAUCUGGGGAAUAGAAGGGGUGGGCAAAGAGCUGACUCCAGGCUGACAGCCACACUAUGCCAGGCUUGAGGGAAGAGGGCCUGGAAGACCUUCGAUUCCUCCUUGUCAGCCUCUCUGAAGGUCUCACCAUUGCUCCCACCUCUCCAGCCCUGCCUUCGCCACAUACUCAAUGCAGUAGCCUCUGAGUAGUCAAGCUUUUCCUGUGUUCUUCUCGUUCCUUUUCAUUUCCCAUAGAGAGGCCAAGAGUAUAUGAAGGGCUGUGCCACUUGGUUCCAAUGGGUUAGAAAUAGAAAUAUACUUCUUAAAUCAGUACUUCAUCCACCUUCUACAGUAGGUCCGGCUACAGACCCCUGUGAUGUGCACAUACUAACAAACAAACAAACAACUACAACAA